rnacentral:lncRNA from 1 species
CAGGACUUGGUAUGGAUCCUUAAGAAUCCUAUCACUUUUAAGCUCAGAGAUUACUUUGUCAUUUUCAAUUUGACGAUUCUUAAAUUGAACAUUGGAUUGAUGACUAGGUCCAGGUGGUUGCUGGAUGGGUGGGUUAUUUUCAAAAUUCAGUAUUGAUUGGCUCGGUAAUUGAUCUAGUUCUCUCCUCAUGGUAGAUUCAGCUAAUUGAUCUAUUUGUGC